ensembl:lncRNA
GUUGCGGGGCGCGAUGUUGUUUUGUCGCGGCGAUCAGCUGGAAGUGGCGUCGCCGGUCCGCUCUGACACAACAGCGGGAAGCCCCCGGAGCCCCGAGCCGGCUCCCCGCCGCACCGAAACACGCCGGCACCGACGGCCCGAUCCGGGCAUCGCGAUCCAGGAAAUGCGGACUUUUGGCCCUUUCGCCACGGGGCAAAUGGCUGCAGCCGCCCGUACUGAAGCGAGCUGUAUGGGCUCCUUUGUCUCCUGCAUUGCGGCACACUUUCUGCUUUUAUUAAGGAAAAAACUUUGGCUUUAAAAGGAAA